rnacentral:lncRNA from 1 species
UGCUGGAUCGGGAGGAAGGGGAAGCGGUCGAUGACGGCAGUGGCGGCGAGGCGCGUGACAUCACGCUCCGGAGUGGCGGACUCCACGGUGCUGCUCUGGCUAGGGCUGCUGCUGCUGCUAGCGUUGUUUGUUACGUUGUUGUUGUUGUUCCGGUUAAGGUUGUUGUUGUUGUUGGUGGUGACGGCGGCGACGAUGUCGGGGAGAAGGGGGAAGUUCGUUUUAGCUUUGGGGCCGCGGAAGUUGCGGGCGGCGGCGUCAUAUGCUCUGGCGGCUUCCUCGGCGGUGUCGAAGGUGCCGAGCCAGACGCGGGAUUUCUUGCCGGGGUCGCGGAUCUCGGCGGCGUAGCGGCCCCAGGGGCGCUUUCGGACGCCGCGGUAGUGAACCUCGUCGGCGGCAUUGGUUGGCUUCUUAUUCUUUAUGACCGUUUUGUCCUUGGCGACCAUGGUGACGCAAAGCUGAUAAUAAAGAGAGUGCAGAAGGAUAGAUGUUGGGUGAGAGGGAGGGGAUGGGUAUUUAUAUAAAAUGUAGGGUGGGUUUGAAGAGAGAGAAAGAGAGAAAGAGGGUGGAGUGAAAGAAUGGUGUGUAUGGUGUGACGUGUGAGUUAUUAGAGAGAGAGAGAGAGACGCCGCCCAAAGGAAAUAGAGUGUUACGUGGCACGCGGGAGUUUCGAGACAAGCGGCGAAGGUGGGGUUUCAUGCGUGCCGGCUUUUAACCUAAUUCACUCUCUUCUCAACUCACGUAUCUUACACUCGCUUGCCUUUUUUAUUUUUUAUUUUUUGAUAGAAUGGUGUGUAUGGUGUUGAAACGCGCUUUUGGAGAAGGAAGUGAAAGUGAAAGGAAAGAGAGUGAUGACCAAGUCAAAAGGAAGUUAGGAAGUGUGAGAGUGUUGAUGGGUAAAGAGACAUGAGCAAUAUUUGAGUAAUGUAAUGGGUAAUAAUAAUUGUGGGUAUUUUUUGAAUGGUUCCUUCAGACAGUUUGGUGAAUGGGGAGUGAACCUGGUGCAGGGAACGAUAACGUGCACACGCGUCACUUUCUACCUAUUGACGCGUUUGUUUCGGUGCAUCCAAAAUCGCGUCCUGUCUCUAUCUCUCUCACGUUAAUCGAUCAAACAAACACCUUGUGUGCGUGCCGCGAGUCGCUUUACUCUCCCUCUACCACCGUGCCACGCGUCGUGUGCCGCACCGCGCUUUUUGUCUCGCAUUCUGCGCCGCACGAUCCCAGAGCGCCCAACAC